UACCAGUUUUUAUUUACUUACUUGAACUGAUUGAUUCUUAAUGAAUAGCAAAAGCAAAACUUGUCAUUACUGUGACUGUCUUAUUAGCAUAAAUGAAGGUGAGGAAUGCAUUUUUUUGAA